rnacentral:rRNA from 1 species
UGGAAGGGCCAUCGCUCAACGGAUAAAAGGUACUCCGGGGAUAACAGGCUGAUACCGCCCAAGAGUUCAUAUCGACGGCGGUGUUUGGCACCUCGAUGUCGGCUCAUCACAUCCUGGGGCUGAAGUAGGUCCCAAGGGUAUGGCUGUUCGCCAUUUAAAGUGGUACGCGAGCUGGGUUUAGAACGUCGUGAGACAG